AUGGAUUAGUUUUAAAAAUUUUCAAAGGGUAUGGCAGCCAUGGCGGAAAUCGGAACAGAGAUUUUGGUUCGCGAAUACCUGUUGAUGAAACAUCUCCUCUAUUUUCUGCCAUAAUUCUGAAGCAGAUGCAGUUCCUCUAGGCAAUCUGAAUUAGCGAUGGAGAAAGAUUUGUUGUUAUCAAGGCGCACACAUAAGCAUCAGAUCUAUCCCAAGCAAUUCUAGCUUCAACUUCACUUGGUGGAACAACUUCACAAUUCAGAUGAUGAUGAAUCUGUCAUGAUUGAUAAGGAGACAAACAGAUUAAAGACGAAAUUUGAAGAAGAGAAGAACAAAUUUUGAAGAUGAGAUUUGAAAAUGAUUGAUCGGAAAGAAUGAAAAUUUCGCCGGAAAAAAUGGAAGUCUUGCCUGAGAUUGAACAACAUGCCAGAAUCAAGUCACCAGAAUCAAGAGCAUAUGCUCUGAUACCAUGUAAAUCAACAGAAUUGUAAGAGAUAGUAAACAGUUUCUCAUUAGUCUUAAUAUGAAUAAU
rnacentral:lncRNA from 1 species